rnacentral:rRNA from 1 species
UACGUAGGGUGCAAGCGUUGUCCGGAAUUAUUGGGCGUAAAGAGCUCGUAGGCGGCUUGUCACGUCGACUGUGAAAACCCGGGGCUCAACUCCGGGCCUGCAGUCGAUACGGGCUGGCUUGAGUGCGGUAGGGGAGACUGGAAUUCCUGGUGUAGCGGUGAAAUGCGCAGAUAUCGGGAAGAACACCCGUGGCGAAGGCGGCUCUCUGGGACGGUACUGACGCUGAGACGCGAAAGCGUGGGGAGCGAACGGG